CGGCCGGAAGUCAGAAUAAAAUUCUCGGAACGUCUCGAAAGUUUUCGGUCAUCUAUACAGGUCUUCACAUGUUGUUAUCUACGUCUUUGAUAUGGUCCCUUGAUGGCCCUUGACGACGCAAUUAUAUUUGUUUUAAAACGACCACUGUACACUGUGUGUAUCUGGGUCAAUUAUAACGUGGUAUUGUCUGUUGUCUCGAUAACAUGUAAAC
rnacentral:lncRNA from 1 species